UUAACACAUGCAAGUCGAGGGGAAACGAUAUUGGAAGCUUGCUUCCGAUAGGCGUCGACCGGCGCACGGGUGAGUAACGCGUAUCCAACCUGCCCAUCACUUGGGGAUAACCUUGCGAAAGUAAGACUAAUACCCAAUGAUAUCUCUAGAAGACAUCUGAAAGAGAUUAAAGAUUUAUCGGUGAUGGAUGGGGAUGCGUCUGAUUAGCUUGUUGGCGGGGUAACGGCCCACCAAGGCGACGAUCAGUAGGGUUCUGAGAGGAAGGUCCCCACAUUGGAACUGAGACACGGUCCAAACUCCUACGGGAGGCAGCAGUGAGGAAUAUUGGUCAAUGGGCGAGAGCCUGAACCAGCCAAGUAGCGUGCAGGAUGACGGCCCUAUGGGUUGUAAACUGCUUUUAUAAGGGAAUAAAGUGAGUCUCGUGAGACUUUUUGCAUGUACCUUAUGAAUAAGGACCGGCUAAUUCCGUG
rnacentral:rRNA from 1 species